GACGAACGCUGGCGGCGUGCUUAACACAUGCAAGUCGAACGGUAAGGCCCUUCGGGGUACACGAGUGGCGAACGGGUGAGUAACACGUGGGUGAUCUGCCCUGCACUUCGGGAUAAGCCUGGGAAACUGGGUCUAUUACCGGAGAGGACCACUGCCUGCAAGGGUGGUGGGGGAAAGCGUUUGCGGUGUGGGAUGGGCCCGCGGGCUAUCAGCUUGUUGGUGGGGUGAUGGCCUACCAAGGCGACGACGGGUAGCCGGCCUGAGAGGGUGACCGGCCACACUGGGACUGAGAUACGGCGCAGACUCCUACGGGAGGCAGCAGUGGGGAAUAUUGCACAAUGGGCGCAAGCCUGAUGCAGCGACGCCGCGUGAGGGAUGACGGCCUUCGGGUUGUAAACCUCUUUCAGCACCGACGAAGCGCAAGUGACGGUAGGUGCAGAAGAAGGACCGGCCAACUACGUGCCAGCAGCCGCCGUAA
rnacentral:rRNA from 1 species